GUUCUGCUUUCAGCAGCUACUUUUCUGGUUUGAAGGGGGGAAGGAAAAAAAAACUGGGGAGAACUAGGCGGCUUUCUGAUCAGAGUUCAGAUAAAAAGGGUCACAGUAAUUUGUGGGCACUGACUAAAAUAACCCAAUGGAUUUGAGAGUUACCGCAAAAGAAGCAAACAGACAAACUAAAGAGGUAUAACUCCUACUUGAAGAGUGUGAGAGAAUAUUUACUACUCGGAUGUUUGAGACAUACCAAAAAAUGCUUUUUGAUCCUUUAUCAAGAAGACGUAAUGACCAAGAUUGAUAAAGAAAAAUGCAAUGGUUACUUUACCUGCAACCAUCUCAAAGACGCUCUAAUGUCAUUUCAGAGGACUUCAGCCAUGAACUUGGUGAUGAGCCAGAGAAGGUAACUUUUCAUCCCCUACAAGACCUAUUCCAUGUUGCAGCUAACCUUAAAGAAAUCAUCACUUGGAACUGAUUCAGAAUCCCAUAUCACAUUUUGUUAUUACUUUUGCCUGGUCUCCUGCUGUCUGGAACAGUUUUUCAGUCUUCCUUCAUUUUCAAGAGUGUGAAAGGAUCCCAAGACCAAAAGUCUGGGAACUGCUGGUUUAGAGUCACAAUACUGACUGCUCAAAAUGACUUUUUAAAGAAGAAAGCCUUAAAAACCCUUGAGUGAAUGGUUGGUAUUUACAGACAAGCAAAUGUAUGGAAGAGAAACGAGAGACCCAGCCUGAAUCUGUUGAAUGAACGAAAGGGGAAAUGCCCUAAGGAGUCAGAUGGAAGAAGUUUUUCUGGGAAGAGCAGAACACAGGAGUUGGGGUGCAGACCUCCUGGAUCACCAGCAGAAGGAAAAGAGCAGUGAGACGUUAAAGUGAUUGAGACAAAAAUGGAAGUAAAACAGCUUAAGGCUUUCUGAGAUCGAGUUCCUGGCAGUGUCAUCAGCAGAUGGUUUCUUCUGAAGUUCAGGGGAAGAGAAGAUGCUCGAAGAACUCUCCAGGGACUGAGUGGGUGGUACAGAGCUAGUGCUGUAGAUGCCAUGUAUACAGGCAAAUUCCCCAAUGAGUGUUUUCCAAUAUCAAGUUUAACUGGCAUUUAAGAUAUAUGCCAAAGGUAGGUAAAUUAUUUUGGCCUGUGCUUAUAGGUUUAUUUCCCUGGAUGAAGCUUUCUGUCUCUGUCCUAGUGCACUGUAGCAGAUGCAGGGUCUUUCCAUACAAUACAUUAAAAGCUGCAUCUCAUUUUAAAUAUAUUAUAGAAACCCUGAUCAUACAAUACAUACAAGAUUUUUAAGAUCAGCCUUCAGUCGAUUUUUUUGCUUUAUUUUUGUUCUGGAGGUCAAAAUGAGUGGUUAACUGUCUAAGUUGAUUGCAGAGAAAGUUACUACUCAUUCUAAACGUAGGUUUUUAGAAAAGUGUUCUUGGCAGUUGCUACCAUUGGCUUUUUCCAACUUACAUGGGAAUCAAGAUUCAGAACUGGUACACCAAUGGGAAGAGCCUGGAAAAUAGACUAUUGAUCAAGAUGAAUCUGGUCCAGAUACUUUAAGACCUUUUCAGUGUGUUUUUAAGAUUAUAAGUUUGAACUAACAGAAACUUCAAUGCUGUUUUUUCACAAGUCAAUGUGUAGUGUACUGUUAUUCUUUUUUUUCCUGUAAUAUCUUAAUAAUAUUCCUGGCUGUAAGAAAAAGUUAACACUAUACCUAUGUUUUGACUUACUUUAUAGAAGACCCAAACAAUAUUUAACAAAAGGAUUUUUCUCAAAUACUAUUUUGAAAUCACUAUAUUAGACACUAUCUUAAAUUUAUUUCUCAAUUUGCUUCUUUUUGAAACUUCCACAUUUUGGUGUUCUUUUCAGCAUCACUCAUUUUCUUUCAUAAUAAAGAUACCCAAUAACAAUAUCAUAAUAAAGAUUUGAUAACAAAUCUCCAGUUUUGGAGUGUUACAUUUCAUAUCUACAUGCUUACAGAGAAUUUAGUAUGAAUAUUCCCUGGCCUUAGUUCCUCUAAGCCUAGGAUACUUGUAGUCAUUUGGCAAAUAAUUUAAUCCAUGGCAAACAUGAGUCUUAAUACAAAAAUUAUUGAGUAGGCAAAAAAUAAUUGAACAUAUUUUGGACUGAUUACCAGUGCAUUAAAAAAGUAGAGGUUUAAGGAUGAGAAUAAUAAGUUUUUUUGUUUUUACUUAAAUUUAUAUAAAAGGAGUGAAAAUACAGUAGCCUAUAGUACUUAAGAGUGUGGGUAUAUUUUCAGCACUUAAUAAUUACUAGUUGAAUUGCAUAAUAUGGGACUAUAACUGAUAUGGUUUGGCUCUGUGUCCCCGCCCAAAUCUCAUGUUGAAUUAUAAUUUCCAAUAUUGGAGGAGGUACCUAGUGGGAGGUGACUGGAUCAUUGGGGGAAAUUUCCCCCUUGCUGUCCUCAUGAUAGUGAGUGAGUUCUCACAAGAUCUGAUGGUUUAAAAGUGUGUGGCAUUUCCCCCUUUACUCUUUCUCUCUCCUGCUGGCCAUGAGAAUAAGUGCUUGCUUCCCAUUCACCUUCUGCCAUGCUUGUGUUUCCUGAGGCUUCCCAGCCAUGCUUCUUGUUCAAGCUGCAGAACUGUGAGUCAAUUAAACCUCAUUUCUUCAUAAAUUACCCAGUCUCAGCUCUUUAUGGGAGUGUGAGAAUGGACUAAUAAAAUAUCUCUAGAAUUAUGUUUUUGGAGAUAAUUUAAAGAUAAACAAAUAUUGGAAACCUCAUUUGAUCACACAGAGAACAGUAAAUGGAAGUUCUACUUUUUCUCCAGGGCCUUUCUCAUGCUUAUGCAGGGAUUAUUCACCCAGAUAUCCUGAAAUAAGACAUCCAAUUAAGGUACCUGCUAUCUCAUGUAACACAGAAGAAAGUUGAGCAUAGAGGUUAAACAUUACCUAAUAUUGUUGGAAAAGCUUCGAAGCGUUCAUUUUCAAAGCAGCUAAUGUAAACCAUGAUAAUCACUAGUAGCACUAUGCCAUUUUAAAUACUUCAAUAUUUUGUAGUUAUUAGAUUCUAAGUAAGUAUAAAAUGUAGUGAAUACAAAUUUUAUUUGCCUAAACAGUGUUAGACAAUAUAAAUUAACGAGUUAUUUUUUAUUCUGUUUAAUAUUUUCAAGCCAAUAAACACUUUACUAAAGUA
rnacentral:lncRNA from 1 species